UACAGAGAGUGCAAACGUUGUUCGGAAUCACUGGGCUUAAAGCGCGCGUAGGCGGCAUUGUCAGUGUGAGGUGAAAGCCCACGGCUUACCCGUGGAACUGCCUUGCAUACUGCAGUGCUAGAGUGUGGUAGGGGAGAGCGGAACUCCUGGUGGAGCGGUGAAAUGCGUAGAUAUCAGGAGGAACACCGGUGGCGAAGGCGGCUCUCUGGUCCAUAACUGACGCUGAGGUGCGAAAGCUAGGGUAGCGAAC
rnacentral:rRNA from 1 species